rfam:Cellvibrio japonicus Teda107, complete genome.
GGUGGCAGGCCCACCGCAUUCGCUUUGCAGUAAGUGAGUGCAAACCACUUCAAGCGGCAUUGAUAAAGAGUCAUUGUCGUGAGCGUUGAAGAAAAGUCGGAAUAAAAUUCGGCAGGU